rnacentral:rRNA from 1 species
UACGUAGGGGGCAAGCGUUGUCCGGAUUUAUUGGGCGUAAAGAGCGUGUAGGCGGCUAGGUAGGUCCGUUGUGAAAACUCGAGGCUCAACCUCGAGAUGUCGGCGGAAACCAUCUGGCUAGAGUCCGGAAGAGGAAAGUGGAAUUCCUGGUGUAGCGGUGAAAUGCGCAGAUAUCAGGAAGAACACCCGUGGCGAAGGCGGCUUUCUGGGACGGUACUGACGCUGAGACGCGAAAGCGUGGGGAGCGAACAGG